rnacentral:rRNA from 1 species
AUUGAACGCUGGCGGCAUGCUUUACACAUGCAAGUCGAACGGUAACAGGCCGCAAGGUGCUGACGAGUGGCGAACGGGUGAGUAAUGCAUCGGAACGUGCCCAGUCGUGGGGGAUAACUAUCCGAAAGGAUAGCUAAUACCGCAUACGAUCUGCGGAUGAAAGCGGGGGACCUUCGGGCCUCGCGCGAUUGGAGCGGCCGAUGUCAGUUUAGGUAGUUGGUGGGGUAAAGGCUCACCAAUCAAACGAUCUGUAGCUGGUCUGAGAGGACGACCAGCCACACUGGGACUGAGACACGGCCCAGACUCCUACGGGAGGCAGCAGUGGGGAAUUUUGGACAAUGGGCGCAAGCCUGAUCCAGCAAUGCCGCGUGCAGGAAGAAGGCCUUCGGGUUGUAAACUGCUUUUGUACGGAACGAAACGGCUCUGGUUAAUACCUGGGGCUAAUGACGGUACCGUAAGAAUAAGCACCGGCUAACUACGCGCCAGCAGCCGCCGUAA